CACAUGGGAGUUAGGUGGUGCCAUACAAUCAAAGAAAAUAAGAAAAAACCACCCCCAAGAGUCCACAAGGGUUCAAUAUCCAUGAACCAGCACCAAGGCUAAUAGGUUAGAAGAUGGAAGGUGAGAAUAAGAGAAAAAGAUAUGGAAAAUCU